rnacentral:rRNA from 1 species
UACGGAGGGGGCUAGCGUUGUUCGGAAUUACUGGGCGUAAAGCGCACGUAGGCGGCUUUGUAAGUUAGAGGUGAAAGCCCAGGGCUUAACUCUGGAAUUGUCUUUAAGACUGCAUCGCUAGAAUCGUGGAGAGGUGAGUGGAAUUCCGAGUGUAGAGGUGAAAUUCGUAGAUAUUCGGAAGAACACCAGUGGCGAAGGCGACUCACUGGACACGUAUUGACGCUGAGGUGCGAAAGCGUGGGGAGCAAACAGG